rnacentral:rRNA from 1 species
AUUGAACGCUGGCGGCAUGCCUUACACAUGCAAGUCGAACGGCAGCACGGGAGCAAUCCUGGUGGCGAGUGGCGAACGGGUGAGUAAUACAUCGGAACGUGCCCAGUAGUGGGGGAUAGCCCGGCGAAAGCCGGAUUAAUACCGCAUACGACCUACGGGUGAAAGCGGGGAUCGCAAGACCUCGCGCUAUCGGAGCGGCCGAUGUCAGAUUAGGUUGUUGGUGGGGUAAAGGCCUACCAAGCCGACGAUCUGUAGCUGGUCUGAGAGGACGACCAGCCACACUGGGACUGAGACACGGCCCAGACUCCUACGGGAGGCAGCAGUGGGGAAUUUUGGACAAGUGGGGGCAACCCUGAUCCAGCCAUGCCGCGUGCGGGAAGAAGGCCU